rnacentral:rRNA from 1 species
GGAUAGGGGUUCUGAGAGGAAGGUCCCCCACAUUGGAACUGAGACACGGUCCAAACUCCUACGGGAGGCAGCAGUGAGGAAUAUUGGUCAAUGGGCGAGAGCCUGAACCAGCCAAGUAGCGUGAAGGAUGACUGCCCUAUGGGUUGUAAACUUCUUUUAUGCGGGAAUAACAAGCGGCACGUGUGCCGUUCUGCAUGUACCGUAUGAAUAAGCAUCGGCUAACUCCGUGCCAGCAGCCGCGGUAAUACGGAGGAUGCGAGCGUUAUCCGGAUUUAUUGGGUUUAAAGGGAGCGCAGACGGGUCUUUAAGUCAGUUGUGAAAGUUUGCGGCUCAACCGUAAAAUUGCAGUUGAUACUGGAGACCUUGAGUGCGGUAUAGGCAGGCGGAAUUCGUGGUGUAGCGGUGAAAUGCUUAGAUAUCACGAAGAACUCCGAUUG